AGCGGGGUGGAGCAGUGGUAGCUCGUCGGGCUCAUAACCCGGAGGUCGUUGGUUCGAAUCCAACCCCCGCAACCA
rnacentral:tRNA from 1 species